AGGGAUUACUUCCAAGUAUAGUAAUCACUUGUACUACUAUACUUGUUAGUCGUUCCAUG
rnacentral:pre_miRNA from 1 species